rnacentral:rRNA from 1 species
CAAUAGCGUAUAUUUAAGUUGUUGCAGUUAAAAAGCUCGUAGUUGGAUUUCGGUUAAGAGCGACCGGUCCGCCGUUUGGUGUGCACUGGUUGGUUUUAACUUCCUGUAGAGGACGUGCUCUGGGUUUAACGACCUGGACUCGGAGUCUACGUGGUUACUUUGAAAAAAUUAGAGUGUUCAAAGCGGGCUUACGCUUGAAUAUUUCAGCAUGGAAUAACACUAUAGGACUCCUGUCCUAUUUCGUUGGUCUCGGGACGGGAGUAAUGAUUAAGAGGAACAGUUGGGGGCAUUCGUAUUUCAUUGUCAGAGGUGAAAUUCUUGGAUUUAUGAAAGACGAACUUCUGCGAAAGCAUUUGCCAAGGAUGUUUUCAUUGA